rnacentral:rRNA from 1 species
AUUGAACGCUGGCGGCAUGCCUUACACAUGCAAGUCGAACGGCAGCGGGGGAGAAGCUUGCUUUUCCUGCCGGCGAGUGGCGAACGGGUGAGUAAUACAUCGGAACGUGCCCUGUAGUGGGGGAUAACUAGUCGAAAGAUUAGCUAAUACCGCAUACGACCUGAGGGUGAAAGUGGGGGGCCGCAAGGCCUCAUGCUAUAGGAGCGGCCGAUGUCUGAUUAGCUAGUUGGUGGGGUAAAGGCCUACCAAGGCGACGAUCAGUAGCUGGUCUGAGAGGACGAUCAGCCAGACUGGGACUGAGACACGGCCCAGACUCCGACGGGAGGCAGCAGUGGGGAAUUUUGGACAAUGGGCGAAAGCCUGAUCCAGCAAUGCCGCGUGUGUGAAGAAGGCCUUCGGGUUGUAAAGCACUUUUGUCCGGAAAGAAAUGGCUCUGGUUAAUACCUGGGGUCGAUGACGGUACCGGAAGAAUAAGGACCGGCUAACUACGUGCCAGCCGCCGCCGUAA